AUCAUUGAUGAUGGUGAGAUGGCAUCUUACAUCCUUAAUGGUCUUGAUUUUGAGUAUAAUCCGUUUGUGUCCUCGAUGCUUGGCCGUGCCGAUCCUCUCUUUCUGAUUUGUACUCUCACCUUCUAUC
rnacentral:snoRNA from 1 species